rnacentral:rRNA from 1 species
GCCUGCAUGAAGCUGGAAUUGCUAGUAAUCGCGGAUCAGCAUGCCGCGGUGAAUACGUUCCCGGGCCUUGUACACACCGCCCGUCACACCAUGAGAGUCGGGAACACCCGAAGUCCGUAGUCUAACCGCAAGGAGGGCGCGGCCGAAGGUGGGUCCGGUAAUUGGGGUGAAGUCGUAACAAGGUAAC